AGAGUUUGAUCCUGGCUCAGGACGAACGCUGGCGGCGUGCUUAACACAUGCAAGUCGAACGAAGAGCGAUGGAAGCUUGCUUCUAUCAAUCUUAGUGGCGAACGGGUGAGUAACGCGUAAUCAACCUGCCCUUCAGAGGGGGACAACAGUUGGAAACGACUGCUAAUACCGCAUACGAUCCAAUCUCGGCAUCGAGGAUGGAUGAAAGGUGGCCUCUAUUUAUAAGCUAUCACUGAAGGAGGGGAUUGCGUCUGAUUAGCUAGUUGGAGGGGUAACGGCCCACCAAGGCGAUGAUCAGUAGCCGGUCUGAGAGGAUGAACGGCCACAUUGGGACUGAGACACGGCCCAGACUCCUACGGGAGGCAGCAGUAGGGAAUUUUCGGCAAUGGGGGAAACCCUGACCGAGCAACGCCGCGUGAGUGAUGACGGCCUUCGGGUUGUAAAGCUCUGUUGUAAGGGAAGAACGGUAGAUAGAGAAUAUCUAAGUGACGGUACCUUACCAGAAAGCCACGGCUAACUACGUGCCAGCAGCCGCGGUAAUACGUAGGUGGCGAGCGUUGUCCGGAAUCAUUGGGCGUAAAGGGAGCGCAGGCGGGCCGGUAAGUCUUACUUAAAAGUGCGGGGCUCAACCCCGUGAUGGGAGAGAAACUAUCGGUCUUGAGUACAGGAGAGGAAAGCGGAAUUCCCAGUGUAGCGGUGAAAUGCGUAGAUAUUGGGAGGAACACCAGUGGCGAAGGCGGCUUUCUGGACUGCAACUGACACUGAGGCACGAAAGCGUGGGUAGCAAACAGGAUUAGAUACCCUGGUAGUCCACGCCGUAAACGAUGAGCACUAGGUGUUGGGCCCGUUAGGGCUCAGUGCCGCAGUUAACGCAAUAAGUGCUCCGCCUGGGGAGUACGCUCGCAAGAGUAAAACUCAAAGGAAUUGACGGGGACCCGCACAAGCAGCGGAGCAUGUGGUUUAAUUCGAAGCAACGCGAAGAACCUUACCUAAGCUUGACAUCCCUCGGACAGGUGUUUAAUCACACCCUUCCUUCGGGACUGAGGUGACAGGUGGUGCAUGGUUGUCGUCAGCUCGUGUCGUGAGAUGUUGGGU
rnacentral:rRNA from 1 species